GAUGAACGCUGGCGGCGUGCCUAAUACAUGCAAGUCGAGCGAACGGACGAGAAGCUUGCUUCUCUGAUGUUAGCGGCGGACGGGUGAGUAACACGUGGAUAACCUACCUAUAAGACUGGGAUAACUUCGGGAAACCGUAGCUAAUACCGGAUAAUAUUUUGAACCGCAUGGUUCAAAAGUGAAAGACGGUCUUGCUGUCACUGAUAGAUGGAUCCGCGCUGCAUUAGCUAGUUGGUAAGGUAACGGUUUACCAAGGCAACGAUGCAUAGCCGACCUGAGAGGGUGAUCGGCCACACUGGAACUGAGACACGGUCCAGACUCCUACGGGAGGCAGCAGUAGGGAAUCUUCCGCAAUGGACGAAAGCCUGACGGAGCAACGCCACGGGGGGUAUGAAGGUCUCCGGGUCGUAAACCUCUGUUAUUAGGGAAGAACAUAUGUGUAGGUAACUGUUCACAUCUUGACGGUACCUAAUCAGAAAGCCACGGCUAACUACGUG
rnacentral:rRNA from 1 species